GUUUAGAAGUUGCAUUUUAAAUUUGGUGGUUGAGGCAAUUUGGUAUAUUGAUCUUUGUUAUUAAUCACAAGAUCAAGGAGUUCAAUGUUUGAGUCAAUUACUUGAGGGUGGGGAUUUGAGGGAAAAAGAGCUAGGGGAAGAAACUUUUUCUCAUAGGCUCUGCAUGGGCUUAUUCCUAUAGUUCAUGACAACAUAAGCGCUUCCGAUCAAAUUAAACACCUACAAUCAAGUUCUACAAAAGUUUCUGCACAUGAGGUGGAGAGGAUGGAGAUGACUAGUUUACAGAGCUUGGAGAACGAUCAAAUAGCUACCUUUAUUUGGAAUUUGGAACCAUGUAUUCGAUGGAUGUCAAACUAUUUUUAGUUUUAGUCGAUAGAUGUGUGAAAUUGUUCCUCUUUUUCUUGCUUUCCCCUUCUUUGUUUCUUCCUUAGCUUGUCAUCUUAUCCUACUUUCUUUUCCAUCUAGAAUGACUUCCCAAGAACUCUAGAGGCUCUUAUACUGCACUUGCUUUCUCCAGUUGGAGAAGAAGUUCUUACUCGAAAAUUUGAUUAGAUGGAUCAAGGAAACACCGAUGAGGAUCAGUUUAUUAUAUUCUUACAAAAAAAAAAAAAAAAAAAAAAAANAAAAAAAAUCGUAUGAUUAUGGAUUCUGUGGGAGAUGUUUUACUUUUGGCUGAUAUCUCUUCAUCCUGGAAAAGGCUCUAAGGGGUUUUCUGUAGUUCAUUUGAUGAUCAAUUUGCUGCCAUGGAUGCAGUUCUAAACAGGAAAGAGUCUUUUGCUCGUCAGGUCAUUGUAACUCUAUUUAACAGUAACAUUUUUAUUAUUUAUUAUUUAUUUUACUUCAACCAUGAUAUCUCCCCUGUUUAUCGUAGUAAUAGCUCUGUGCAAUUUGUUUUUAAUCAUAGGUAGGAUUUGCCUUCUAUAUUUUUUUUCUCUUUUCCCGGAACAAAAUACUGAGCACACAAGUAGAUGGUAUUAGUUAUUGGUCUCGAAGGCAAUCUUUGUGGGCUAACAACAAAAGCUCUUCUCACAUCUUUAUCUCAUCCUCCAAAAAUUUGGCUGGCCUCAAAUUGCAAACAGCAUUCUGCAUUUUUGUGCUCAGCUUUUGUUCUUGUGAAAUAUCUUAUUUGGCUUAUUAGUUAGACACUUCUAUGUAGCUUUCACGCAACCUUGAAAAAUGGGCAGCAUAUUUUCUCAACCAAAACCGCAUACUUUGGCGGUAAAUUUGAUUUAGAUACUGUUACAUAAGUUGAUCUUGCAAAGAUCCUAAUGAAUUAUUGUGUUUGGCUUCCAGGAACUGCAAAUCUUUUCUUUUUUUUGGUUGUUAACUUUUCUGUUUCAGGACUAGAAGCAAUUUAUUUAAUUUUUUAAACUUCAGUUUGAUUAAGUGCCUAAACUGAGUUUUUUCUUCUCACAGCCUUAAAUAUCUUAAAUAUCUGUUCCCUUCCGUGAAUUUGGUAUCUAUUGAUAAUUUUGAAUCUUAACGAAUGCGCAUGCUCUCUGGCCGCAGUUUUCUACUUGUGUCUAUAUAUAUUUUUUAAUUUAUUACGCCAUUUCAGUUUCUGUGUUUUGAAAGGAAGCAUAUUUAUUUCCAUUCCGCAUUUAUUUAUUUUAAAAACAUCAUUAUUGUUGUCACCAAAGAAUAGACACAACUAGCCAACCUGCAUAUUCAUUAGGACUUCUUUUUAUUCCCUCCCUAAUAAAUAAGCAUGACCAGAGAAUAUUCUGCUGCAACGCUUUGAGACUUUACUUGUUGUGUUAUUGUAAUUUAACUUUAAUUUUUUCGUCAGGCGUUCAAGAGUGUGCUGGAUAAAUACUUGGGAGUAAACUUAAAUGGGCCAAAUCCGGGAUCUUGAAGGGGAAGUCCUUUAAAGAAAUUGGUCCUGCAGAUUCUGGAGCAUAUCGAUGCUAUCCAUUUUCUAAGCUUUUCCUCGAUUGGUACUUUUACGUAUAAGUUAUUCAUAGCUAUAUAGAAUAAAAAUCAUUACCUAUUCUAGGCAUUACUUUGUAAUUUAUUUCAGACCCAUUUGAUUUUGUAUAGAGAACAAAGUAAAGAGUGGCUUAAAAUCAACGCGAUUUAAGUUUCAACUUUAUACUCCCAUUAUCUCCAUUUAUCAUCUAGUUUUACAUAAAAACUGCCGAAGUAAACCAGCAGCGAAUGGACCUUUAUGUUUACCUCAUUUCUUCUAGCCAAUGAAAUCAAAUUCCUUUAGUGAACAAGGUUAAUGAGCCAAAAUUUCGUAGUUCAGGAGAAAUGAUGUAAGCAGCAAGUGAACCUAAAUGCUCUUUCCUGGUACUUGAGUUGGUGAUUGGAUUACCUAGCAGCUUCUGUUUAUCUACAGAGGAGACUGAAAAGUACAUUAGAAUGCACAGGCAAUGACCCCAUUUUCAAUUACUCUCCUAUUUUGACCCUUUCCCCCUAUGAUAUGUCAUUAUUCUUCUGGCUGUAUGUGAACUGAACUUGCUAAGAUGACAACAAGGGUAGGAAAGCCAUUCUGAUAGGCCUAGUUAGAACGAAAAAGAAAAUUGUGGAGGGAUAUAGAUGGGGAAUGUAAUUAGUAAUGAAUAUUCGUUUCUUGUAGUGUGGGGAGUUCCAAGAUGGGAUUUAGAAAAAAAGAUGAGGGGUAGCAUAGGGGUCUGCAGUAGAAGGGGGGAAAAAAAAGGAAAGAAAAGCAUUGGAAAGAAGGGUCUGUAAAUAAUCGAGAUUGGAAGGAAGAAAAGAGGGAAAAGAAAAGGUAGCUGAGAUGAGAUUCCCUGAUGGAUGAUGACAUGGGCAGGAAUCACAUAAAGGUAGAUGCACCACUUUGCAUUAUCACCAUGGCUUUUUACUCUCAUCAACUUGGGAGAAUAUUAAAUAUAUACACAUACUAAGCUGAUUGAACCUCUGUUUAAGCUGGCUACUAAAGGUUGUGUUGUGGGGAAUAUGCACAGAAAUUGAUAAAGCCCCUCUUAGCAACAACAGUAACAAAAGAAAGACUCACCACAGAAUUGCAAUUCAAUCUUCCAGAGCUCUUUGUUGGUAUCAUUUUCAUCCCCGUUGACAUUUUUCUUCUUUAUUUUCUUUAUUUUCCUUUUCUUCCUUUAGGUUUUAGUUUGCAGCAGCACCCAAAUCCCGGACCACCACCACAAACACUCGCUCACUGAGGCACAAAUCCACAUAACACCAUGAACUUAGGUUGCCUUUAUUUUUUAAGAGAGGAAAAAAAGAAAAAAAACACUCGCACUUGCAACUAAAUUUUACUGCUCCUUCCACCAUCUGACUUCACAAAAGGCUUCUCUAUUCAAAUAGUUCCAGUAAUUUCUCAGUACCUCUAGAAAAGUUGUGAAGAAGGGAAAAAAAAAACAUCUUGGGAUUUGAUUUUUUCAACUCGACCCAUGAUGUGGAAAAAGAAUGUUUUGCUCGUUCUUGCCUAUGAUUGUAAUGGUAAUAAGGUUG